UUGGAGUUCUGUAGGCUUCUUGCAU
rnacentral:piRNA from 1 species